rfam:Nicotiana attenuata strain TT chromosome 6, whole genome shotgun sequence.
UUGAUAAAAGCCUCUCAGAUUAGCCAAGAAUGACACCUAAAAUCCAUUUAUAAGGAUAUAGGAUCAAAUAAUCCUACGUAACAGAUUUUAGGCAAGUCAUCCUUGGCUACCAAAGCAGGUUCUUAUCU